rnacentral:rRNA from 1 species
GAUGAACGCUGGCGGCGUGCCUAGUACAUGCAAGUCGAGCGAACAGAUAAGGAGCUUGCUCCUUUGACGUUAGCGGCGGACGGGUGAGUAACACGUGGGUAACCUACCUAUAAGACUGGGAUAACUUCGGGAAACCGGAGCUAAUACCGGAUAACAUUUGGAACCGCAUGGUUCUAAAGUGAAAGAUGGUUUUGCUAUCACUUAUAGAUGGACCCGCGCCGUAUUAGCUAGUUGGUAAGGUAACGGCUUACCAAGGCAACGAUACGUAGCCGACCUGAGAGGGUGAUCGGCCACACUGGAACUGAGACACGGUCCAGACUCCUACGGGAGGCAGCAGUAGGGAAUCUUCCGCAAUGGGCGAAAGCCUGACGGAGCAACGCCGCGUGAGUGAUGAAGGGUUUCGGCUCGUAAAACUCUGUUAUUAGGGAAGAACAAACGUGUAAGUAACUGUGCACGUCUUGACGGUACCUAAUCAGAAAGCCACGGCUAACUACGUG